rnacentral:rRNA from 1 species
UGGGGAAUAUUGCACAAUGGGCGCAAGCCUGAUGCAGCCAUGCCGCGUGUGUGAAGAAGGCCUCGGGUUGUAAAGCACUUUCAGCGAGGAGGAAGGUGGUGAGCUUAAUACGCUCAUCAAUUGACGUUACUCGCAGAAGAAGCACCGGCUAACUCCGUGCCAGCAGCCGCGGUAAUACGGAGGGUGCAAGCGUUAAUCGGAAUUACUGGGCGUAAAGCGCACGCAGGCGGUUUGUUAAGUCAGAUGUGAAAUCCCCGGGCUCAACCUGGGAACUGCAUUUGAAACUGGCAAGCUAGAGUCUCGUAGAGGGGGGUAGAAUUCCAGGUGUAGCGGUGAAAUGCGUAGAGAUCUGGAGGAAUACCGGUGGCGAAGGCGGCCCCCCUGGACGAAGACUGACGCUCAGGUGCGAAAGCGUGGGGCAGCAAACAGGAUUAGAUACCCUGGUAGUCCA